rnacentral:rRNA from 1 species
UAGGGAAUCUUCGGCAAUGGACGAAAGUCUGACCGAGCAACGCCGCGCGAGUGAAGAAGGUUCUCGGAUCGUAAAACUCUGUUGUUAGAGAAGAACAAGGACGUUAGUAACUGAACGUCCCCUGACGGUAUCUAACCAGAAAGCCACGGCUAACUACGUGCCAGCAGCCGCGGUAAUACGUAGGUGGCAAGCGUUGUCCGGAUUUAUUGGGCGUAAAGCGAGCGCAGGCGGUUUCUUAAGUCUGAUGUGAAAGCCCCCGGCUCAACCGGGGAGGGUCAUUGGAAACUGGGAGACUUGAGUGCAGAAGAGGAGAGUGGAAUUCCAUGUGUAGCGGUGAAAUGCGUAGAUAUAUGGAGGAACACCAGUGGCGAAGGCGGCUCUCUGGUCUGUAACUGACGCUGAGGCUCGAAAGCGUGGGGAGCAAACAGG